rnacentral:rRNA from 1 species
AACGAACGCUGGCGGCAUGCCUAACACAUGCAAGUCGAACGAGAUCUUCGGGUCUAGUGGCGCACGGGUGCGUAACGCGUGGGAAUCUGCCCUUUGGUUCGGAAUAACAGUUGGAAACGACUGCUAAUACCGGAUGAUGACGAAAGUCCAAAGAUUUAUCGCCAGAGGAUGAGCCCGCGUAGGAUUAGCUAGUUGGUGUGGUAAAGGCGCACCAAGGCGACGAUCCUUAGCUGGUCUGAGAGGAUGAUCAACCACACUGGGACUGAGACACGGCCCAGACUCCUACGUGAGGCAGCAGUGGCGAAUAUCGGACAAUGGGCUAAAGCCUUAUCCAGCCAUGCCGCGUGAGUGAUGAUGGCCUUAGGGUUGUAACGCUCUUUUACCCGUGAUGAUAAUGACAGUACCGGGAGAAUAAGCUCCGGCUAACUCCGUGCCAGCCGCCGCAGUAA